rnacentral:tRNA from 1 species
GAGGAUAUAGCUCAGUGGUAGAGGGCAUGCUUAGCAUGCACGAGGUCCUGGGUUCAAUUCCCAGUUCCUCC